UACGUAGGGGGCAAGCGUUGUCCGGAAUCAUUGGGCGUAAAGCGCGCGUAGGCGGCCCGGUAAGUCCGUUGUGAAAGUCAAAGGCUCAACCUUUGAACGCCGAUGGAUACUGCCGGGCUAGAGUCCGGAAGAGGCGAGUGGAAUUCCUGGUGUAGCGGUGAAAUGCGCAGAUAUCAGGAGGAACACCAAUGGCGAAGGCAGCUCGCUGGGACGGUACUGACGCUGAGGCGCGAAAGCGUGGGGAGCGAACAGG
rnacentral:rRNA from 1 species